rnacentral:rRNA from 1 species
UAGGGAAUCUUCCGCAAUGGACGAAAGUCUGACGGAGCAACGCCGCGUGAGCGAAGAAGGUCUUCGGAUCGUAAAGCUCUGUUGUCAGGGAAGAACAAGUACCGUUCGAUAAGGGCGGUACCUUGACGGUACCUGUCGAGAAAGCCACGGCUAACUACGUGCCAGCAGCCGCGGUAAUACGUAGGUGGCAAGCGUUGUCCGGAAUCAUUGGGCGUAAAGCGCGCGCAGGCGGUCCUUUAAGUCUGAUGUGAAAUCUUGCGGCUUAACCGCAAGCGGUCAUUGGAAACUGGAGGACUUGAGUGCAGAAGAGGAAAGCGGAAUUCCAUGUGUAGCGGUGAAAUGCGUAGAGAUAUGGAGGAACACCAGUGGCGAAGGCGGCUUUCUGGUCUGCAACUGACGCUGAGGCGCGAAAGCGUGGGGAGCAAACA